AAACCAACAGGGAUUGCCCUAGUAACGGCGAGUGAAGCGGCAACAGCUCAAAUUUGAAAUCUGGCCCUCGGGUCCGAGUUGUAAUUUGUAGAGGAUGUUUUUGGCGCGGUGCCUUCCGAGUUCCCUGGAACGGGACGCCUUAGAGGGUGAGAGCCCCGUACGGUUGGACACCAAGCCUCUGUAAAACUCCUUCGACGAGUCGAGUAGUUUGGGAAUGCUGCUCUAAAUGGGAGGUAAAUUUCUUCUAAAGCUAAAUAUUGGCCAGAGACCGAUAGCGCACAAGUAGAGUGAUCGAAAGAUGAAAAGCACUUUGAAAAGAGGGUUAAAUAGCACGUGAAAUUGUUGAAAGGGAAGCGUUUGCGACCAGACCUUUUCCUUGGGGAUCAUCCGGUGUUCUCACCGGUGCACUUCCCUUGGUUUAGGCCAGCAUCGGUUUUUGCAGGGGGAUAAAAACUUGAGGAAUGUAGCUCCUUCGGGAGUGUUAUAGCCUCUUGUAUAAUACCCUUGCGGGGACCGAGGACCGCGCUUCGGCAAGGAUGCUGGCAUAAUGGUCGUCAACGAC
rnacentral:rRNA from 1 species